UCUUCAGAUGUAACACUUAAGGCUAUCCUC
rnacentral:piRNA from 1 species